AUGGCAGAGCAUGUUUUGGGCUCACAGAUCUUGUCCUCAGAUGGCCUCAGACCCUGUCCUCCUGCUAAUGGGGGUCAGACCCCUUCUUCCACACCCAGGAGACAGCCUGUUUGGGAGAGCAGCCUGGGAACAGGUGGGGGUGCCAUGGCCACCCCACAAGUCCCUGCUGACCCCAAGCAUUUUUAUCUGAGCCGUGGGGGGCAGUGCUGGGGGCAGUCCAGCAGGGCCAUCUGCCCCAGCCCCCUCCCAGACACACACCUCCUCUGCCCAGCACUGGCAGGCCCAGAGCUGCUCUGCCCCUGGCUGCCCCGUGCCCCCGGGGCUCCUCAGCCCUGUGGAGCAACACGCUGGGGCCCAGCCCGGCCACGCAGAGAGCAGCCCAGCCCUGCUGGGUGCAGUGCGAGGGAGACCGAGCCCCGGGGCUGCUGCAGGCAGGGGGCUGGGGCCCCAGGGGCGACAGGGCCCUGCCCUGCCCUGCCCUGCCCUGGGGGCAGCAGGAUGCUGCCCGCGGGCUCCACCGCCCCGGAAAUGCCCAGGGCCCCUGCACCAGCGCCAGGGCUGGCACCAGCACAGGCCCCGCAGCUUCUGCCCUGCGCCGACCAUGGCCCCCGGGCGCAGGGCAGCCAGGAGCCCCACGGGGCCCCUGCGGCAGAGCCCAGCCCUGGCGGGGCAGCGGCCGUGCCCUGGGGCCCUGCACUGCCCAGGCACAUGGGGCCGCGCUGCCCGAGGCCCUGCGAUGCCCCGUGCUGCCACCCACAACAUGGCGCCCACAACAUGGCGCCCACCGAGGGGGGGGAAGGGAGGGGCAGAGCUAGCCGCCAGGGCAGGAGGGCGCAAGGUUUCUACGGCAAUGCUCCCAGUGCUGUCCUCCUAUUGGCCGGGAAGAGGAAGGCGGGGCUGGAUUUGACUGAUGGGUCUGUAAGCCAAUCGGACUCCACCAUAUGGGGGGGAAAAAGGUUGUUAAAGCGGAGCGGGAGCAAAGCCGGAGUGAGGGAGCGGGCGAGAGUGGGUGUGAGCGGGGCUGGCGGGGCUGCGGGCGCCUUCAGCUGCCGGCGGGUGCCCUCCCGCCGGGGCAGUGGCAGUGGUGCUGGCCCCGGGGUUGCUUUCCUGCAGGAGCUGGGGCAGGGGCUGGUGGGGCCGUGA
rnacentral:lncRNA from 1 species